rnacentral:ncRNA from 1 species
AGCCCAAUAGGAGUCUUUCUUAACCUUUGCUAUGUAAGGGUCUUUGGUGUUUUUAAGUGAUUAUUUCUUCCCCAUGCU